rnacentral:lncRNA from 1 species
CCCAAAUAGCACUGGCAAUCUAUGCGCCACAUGCGGCCACAGGCUUUGGAGAAAGCAAAGGAAAAACGCUGAUGAAAUGUGGCACGGGCCCAUGGAAUGCAAUGUCAAAGUUUCACAUCUGCAGGAAAAGAAAGAGAGUUCCUAAUUUUACAGUGAUGAUGUCAUUGAGAAUUCAUGACAGUGGAAAUGAUGGGCCAAGGUUUGCAAACUUAACCACUCAGGAGGUUGCUAACUAAAGGCUGAGCUUUUCAAGGGACAGUGUGGAUUUGUGUGGAACACUGAUUUGCCUUCCUGACCUGAGCAGUCAUAGUGUCUGUGUGUGUGUGUGUGUGUAUGCAUGUGUGUGCACACACAUUUGCGCACAGGCUCUGGAGAGACAUGGGGAGAGGAAAAGAACUUGUAUCAAGUCAUCUUUUUAUUUAUUGAAAGCCUGGCUCUGUGAGGGGACAAGCUUCAGGUGAGCCAGAGAGAAAUCAGGAAAAGCAUGCCCCCUGCCCUCCUGGAGUUUGUAGUUCAGCCCCCCAACCCUCCCUGACCAGCAAAUGCAAUGGGCAUUUGGCAAGCUUGUCAACAUGUCAUCACCUGCUGAUGUGGUGCAGUAGCCUU